ACAUUCUUGCAAGAACUUGAAGCUUUUGAGCAACUUGUUGUUCUCUAAUUUUUUCCAUUCUGAAAAGACAGAACAGAGACUUCAAGGGGCAGUGCUGGGCACAGAGGGAAAUGGAAUGUGUACUGAUCACUGACACUCUCAGCAGUGCUCUGACCCUGGCACACACCACCUUUCUGAGCAUUUCAUGGUCAGGAGCCCUUUCCCUGAGUCUAGCAUUCCUUCCCUCCUGAAAAAGGUGCCUGAGCCUCAGAGGAAGUGUGGCCCUCUGUGGGCAGCUAUUUCUUGAUCAAUCAAUCAUGACAGACACUGGUUUUUGUGGCCUAGUGGGAAGCUGCCUACAGGGAAUGCCUUGAAAGAGAUCAGGAUACUCCUCUGUACCUUUGAAGAUUUUCAGCUUGUAGAAUCAACUCUUCCCACUUCUGAGACAGUGUUGACAGACUGGUUGUUUAUGAGUGGCUCACAGCUGGUGGGGUUAGCAUUGCCUUCUUGAAUUAUGCCACAAUUCCUUACUCUGGGAUAUAAAGCCUUCCUUGCAUUAGUCUACUUGGCAGGGCCCCUAAAAUGCAAAGAAGCCCUCAUGAGCCUGACUCCAGCCUCAGACAGAACACUCCAAAGCCAUGCUGAGUGAUUCGUCUGAACUCAGGUUUUCCUCCUCUACAUUCCAGCCUACUGUUGGCAUUCUACAAUGCCUUGGUGUUCUGGCUCCUCACUGAUCUGCAAUAAUUAUCCUACUAGGCAACAACAGACAGGGUUUGUGUCACCCUUAAUGGCAGGAUCACCAGUAAAGCGUCUGAAUGGUA